rnacentral:rRNA from 1 species
GGAUUUGUCGGUUGGUCGGGCUUCACUGUCCUCACUGGCCUGAUGGAUUCCUACCUUCUGAACAACCAGCAUGCUAUUAAGUUAGUGCGUUGGGGAAGCAGAGCUAUUACCUUGAAAAAAUUAGAGUGCUUAAAGCAGGCAUACGCUUGAAUACAUUAGCAUGGAAUAAUAGAAUAGGACGGCAUGGUUCUAUUUUGUUGGUUUCUAGGAUCACCGUA